rnacentral:rRNA from 1 species
UACAGAGGUCUCAAGCGUUGUUCGGAUUCAUUGGGCGUAAAGGGUGUGUAGGUGGCGCGCUAAGUCGGGUGUGAAAUUUCGGAGCUUAACUCCGAAACUGCAUUCGAUACUGCCGUGCUUGAGGACUGGAGAGGAGACUGGAAUUUACGGUGUAGCGGUGAAAUGCGUAGAUAUCGUAAGGAAGACCAGUGGCGAAGGCGGGUCUCUGGACAGUUCCUGACGCUGAAGCACGAAGGCCAGGGGAGCAAACGGG